GUGCCAGCAGCCGCGGUAAUACGGAAGAUGCGAGCGUUAUCCGGAUUUAUUGGGUUUAAAGGGAGCGUGAGCGGGCUUUUAAGUCUGCGGUCAAAUGUCAGUGCUCAACGCUGGCCUGCCGUGGAAACUGGGAGUCUUGAAUGUGCACAAGGUGGAUGGAAUUCGUGGUGUAGCGGUGAAAUGCUUAGAUAUCACGAAGAACUCGAUUGCGAAGGCAGUCCACUGGGGCAUGAUUGACGCUGAGGCUCGAAAGCGCGGGUAUCAAACAGGAUUAGAUACCCUGGUAGUCCGCGCUGUAAACGAUGAAUGCUCGUCGUUGGCGACAGACAGUCAGCGACCAAGCGAAAGCAUUAAGCAUUCCACCUGGGGAGUACGCCGGCAACGGUGAAACUCAAAGGAAUUGACGGGGGCCCGCACAAGCGGAGGAACAUGUGGUUUAAUUCGAUGAUACGCGAGGAACCUUACCCGGGCUUGAACUGCACAGGACGGGGCACAGAGACGUGCUCCUUCUUCGGACCUGUGUGGAGGUGCUGCAUGGUUGUCGUCAGCUCGUGCCGUGAGGUGUCGGCUUAAGUGCCAUAACGAGCGCAACCCUUGCCGGUAGUUGCCAUCAGGUGAAGCUGGGCACUCUGCCGGGACUGCCAUCGCAAGAUGUGAGGAAGGUGGGGAUGACGUCAAAUCAGCACGGCCCUUACGUCCGGGGCUACACACGUGUUACAAUGGGGGGCACAGAGAGUUGCUGCAGCGCGAGUUGUGGCGGAUCUUCUAAAUCCCCUCUCAGUUCGGACUGGAGUCUGCAACCCGACUCCACGAAGCUGGAUUCGCUAGUAAUCGCGCAUCAGCCAUGGCGCGGUGAAUACGUUCCCGGGCCUUGUACACACCGCCCGU
rnacentral:rRNA from 1 species